ACGGAAGGCAGCAGUGGGGGAUAUUGCACAAUGGGGGAAACCCUGAUGCAGCGACGCCGCGUGAGUGAAGAAGUAUUUCGGUAUGUAAAGCUCUAUCAGCAGGGAAGAAAAUGACGGUACCUGACUAAGGAGCUCCGGCUAAAUACGUGCCAGCAGCCGCGGUAAUACGUAUGGAGCAAGCGUUAUCCGGAUUUACUGGGUGUAAAGGGAGCGUAGACGGCGAGGCAAGUCUGAUGUGAAAGCUAUGGGCUCAACCCAUAAACUGCAUUGGAAACUGUCUUGCUUGAGUGUCGGAGAGGUAAGCGGAAUUCCUAGUGUAGCGGUGAAAUGCGUAGAUAUUAGGAGGAACACCAGUGGCGAAGGCGGCUUACUGGACGAUAACUGACGUUGAGGCUCGAAAGCGUGGGGAGCAAACAGGAUUAGAUACCCUGGUA
rnacentral:rRNA from 1 species